rnacentral:rRNA from 1 species
CCUACGGGUGGCAGCAGUGGGGAAUAUUGCACAAUGGGGGAAACCCUGAUGCAGCGACGCCGCGUGAGCGAUGAAGUAUUUCGGUAUGUAAAGCUCUAUCAGCAGGGAAGAAACUGACGGUACCUGACUAAGCAUCCCCGGCUAACUACGUGCCAGAUGCCGCUGUAAUACGUAGGGGGCAAGCGUUAUCCGGAUGUACUGGGGGUAAAGGGAGCGUAGAAGGCGAUGCAAGCCAGAUGUGAAAACCCGGGGCGCAACCCCGGGACUGCAUUUGGAACUGUGUGGCUGGAGUGUCGGAGAGGCAGGCGGAAUUACUAGUGUAGCGGUGAAAUGCGUAGAUAUUAGGAGGAACACCAGUGGCGAAGGCGGCCUGCUGGACGAUGACUGACGUUGAGGCUCGAAAGCGUGGGGAGCAAACAGGAUUAGAUACCCGAGUAGUC